UUCGUCUCAAUCACUAUUUCAGUAUACGAUAAUUACUCAUUCUGGUAUCAACCAGCAGAGGGCAGUCUUCACCAAUUUGUUCAGUAUGUCAAAAUAUUUCAUAUGGCUGGUUGAUAACUUGUCAUGCUCUCCAUUAUGAUUGCGCUGGUACAAUGAUUCAAGGGUUCCAUUUGAUCUUUGUAAAGGUAUUUAAAUGCAUCUAUAUGGGUAAUAAUGUAAGCAGCAAGAUUUUUGGCCAACCUCAAUCUUAUCGGUUGUGUGAACAAUCUGCAUUCUGUAUUGGUUCCAACUAAACUCCAAAAGGAUAACCACUUGAAAGGUUAGUCUUGGCUUUCCCUUACAGAUAUGAGGCGAUUAUUUGGGACUUAAAUCUACUCAAAGUAUAUGCUGCUCCACGCAAAGAAGAAAAGCUAAGUGACAUGCAUGGACAAUCUGACGUGACAUGGCAUGACAUUAAUCCAUCAUGUGUAAUUAUUAACACUGGACCUCCUGCUUAGUUCACAGUGAGGAUCUUACUCUGUGGUCCAAAGGUAAACUGCCGAUGGGAUCAGACCACCGCUAGAGAGAGGGGGGAGAAGCACUGAAUUAUAUACCUCUACAUUUGCUGAAAUUGAUUCUCACCAAACCUCUUGGCUGAAUUUAUAAUGCUGAUAGGCAGCAUCAUCAUUUCCCCCAGUCGGUAUCAGUAAUAACACAUUGUUCCAUGGAAAACUAGAAAUAGUAGCCCUAUAUGAUGGUGUUUUGUUGUAAAUCUGACCUACGCUGUUGCUUUCACUGAGAUUAUGUCACACUCACCCGGCCAUUGAAUGACCCUGUGCUUAACACUCUAGAAGAAAAAGAAACGCACACCUCCUUAGGCGAGGUGCUGGCCAGCGGAGCAGGAAACUUGAAACUAAAAGAGCCGCACACUCUAGGAGCUCAGGUGCAAAAAUGUAAUUACCAACGUUUCGACAGCCAAGCUGUCUUCAUCAGGGUAUAACCUGUGCUUAACACACCUGUGUCGACACACCUGACUUUUUAGUGCUGUGUAACACAGCUGGGUUUAUAGGCCUUGUCAGCGCUCUUGACAUCCCCAGCAAUCACAUGACUUAGUCCCUGUCAGGACAGGAGAAGGAGGGCGAAGUCUGUCUUGGCCACUGGUAGAUUGUGUUCACUGUAAUGCCGGCUCCAGUUGGAAUAUUGGUUUGACCAGGGUCAUUCUUUUUCCAGCUGUUCGCUGUUAGAAGAUAGACAGUGUCAUGUGCAGUUUUACUGUUUGUGCAUGUCUGAAGCUGAAUCAGAUCAAUCACGAAGGUACAGCAGUCUAACUACAUUAUCAUCUGACAGGCUGUUCGUCACUUUGCCUGAUGAUCACCUCAACUCAUGGUUAACCUUUUUGAUAUAGGAUUUCCAUAUAAACUGAAGCAUAACUUCAACGGGCAUGUGUCAGGUUUUCAAUACGCGGCCAUUUUACUAGAACCCCUAAUCGUAAAUCAACCCUUGUAUCACAUUGACUUUGUCAGAGUUGAUGUUUAGACUGUACAUGUCUGUGUUUUUAAUGGAUAUGAUAUCCUCACUUUUAGGCUCCUAAAUCUGGUGACCCUCCAAGGAGUGACAUGGGCGAACACACUUGGCUCACUGGCUUUGAUGUACAGUGUGUUUAGGGGGUGGCCAUCAAGAAGGCACGGUUAGCAGAGGAUGACAUCAACACUGUUGCUGCUGGGAUUAUAACAGGCAUGCUGUACAAGUCCACAGGCUGGUAGAGGGUGUGUACAUGGACCAGCACGAGGGGGCCUGGCUCUGUCAGCUCUCUGUGUAACAACUGGGACCAACUGAAGGGAAACCCUCCCACCCGCUACUGAGCCCGGCAUUGAACAUGGACCAGUCAAAACAUUUCCCCAAAUAUAUCUUGAUACCUUUGUAGACAUAUCCUCCCUUUCCAUAAUAACUUCUCUUGUCCCUGAGUUAGGCCCCAUUGAAGGGUGGCCAGAGGUCUGGAAGAUGUCAAGUGUUAGACCUAAUUUAUGCUGUAAUGCACAUCAACGCUGCACAUUGAUGUGUAUCUAUUUGUUGCUGGUGUUAGGAUUCAUCGCUGUGAAUAUCUGAUCAACUGCCUAUGCACAGCUUUUUCCUGAAUUGCACUGUAUUAUUGACGGACUUGAAUGUUGUUGCAAAGAUUGAAUGCUGUCUUACUGAAGUGAAAGGUGGAGUUGCUUCCUAUGGAUGUCUACAUAAGUAUCUCAUUCCACAACUUUGCAUGUGGUAAUUUGCAAAUGUUUGCUUAAUGCCAAGAGAAUGUUACUGUUAAUUUUUAUUAAAGACAAGUCACAGUUUGUUAAACUUA